rnacentral:rRNA from 1 species
GCAAGUCGAACGAGAAAGUUCCUUCGGGGAUGAGUAGAGUGGCGCACGGGUGAGUAACACGUAGGUGACCUACCUUUUAGUUGGGGACAACAGGGAGAAAUUCCUGCUAAUACCGAAUGUGGUCUGUAAUUUUGGAAGUAACAGACUGAAGGUGCCCUCUGUAUAUGGUACCGCUAAAAGAUGGGCCUGCGGGACAUUAGCUUGUUGGUGGGGUAAUGGCCUACCAAGGCGAUGAUGUCUAGCUGGUCUGAGAGGAUGAUC